rnacentral:rRNA from 1 species
CUUAAGUGGCGGACGGGUGAGUAACGCGUGGGAACCUGCCUUGCACCGGGGGAUAACACUUAGAAAUAGGUGCUAAUACCGCAUAAGCGCACAGAGCCGCAUGGCUCGGUGUGAAAAACUCCGGUGGUGCAAGAUGGACCCGCGUCUGAUUAGCUGGUUGGCGGGGUAACGGCCCACCAAGGCGACGAUCAGUAGCCGGCCUGAGAGGGUGAACGGCCACAUUGGGACUGAGACACGGCCCAAACUCCUACGGGAGGCAGCAG